rnacentral:lncRNA from 1 species
UUGGCCCAGUAGUUUCAGAGGAGAAGAUUUUUGUAAAAGAAUACUAAGAUUUACGAAAAAUGGUUAAAAAUUGACUAUAAAGGGCAAUAACUCCUAAAGGGGUCAACUGACCAUUUCCGUCAUGUUGACUUAUUUGUAAAUCUUACUUUGCUGAACAUUAUUCCUGUUUACAGUUUAUCUCUAUCUAUAAUAAUAUUCAAGAUAAUAACCAAAAACAGCAAAAUUUCCUUAAAAU